AGGAGACGGGAUGUAUAGAACAGCAGCGGAGAAAAACCCGGAACGGCCCAUGCUCCUUGACUGGAAUGGAUCGGAGGGACCCUUGGAGACGACGCGUCAUGAUUAAGUGCUUUGCCAGCAGCUUGUUCCCUGAAAUGUUCUGCUUCCGUUCAGUCAAGAUUUUAUCGAGUGAUUUGCUCAAGCUGCCAGAGACGACAUCACCUCACCUCCCGUGAACGGUGGGGAAUGAUGAGAAGAAAGCGCCUUCCUCUGAAACACACAUGCUCAUUUGUGACAGUAACUUCUAAUAGAUACAGAAUAAAAAUGUCAAGUGCUCAAGGCAUGUCGUCUGCAAGCACUUCAUUGGGAUCUUUCCCGGUUCAACCGGUGAUAUCAAAACGCACGGAAAAUGUAACGCAACUUGUCAACGCUUACGCAGGAGCAGCUUUUAGUGACAGUUCCCUGC